rnacentral:rRNA from 1 species
UAACAAUACGGGACUCAUCCGAGGCCCCGUAAUUGGAAUGAGUACACUUCAAAUCCUUUAAUAAGGAUCCAUUGGAGGGCAAGUCUGGUGCCAGCAGCCGCGGUAAUUCCAGCUCCAAUAGCGUAUAUUAAAGUUGCUGCAGUUAAAAAGCUCGUAGUUGGAUCUCAGUUAUGGGCAGGUGGUUCACUUUACGGUGUUACUACCUGAACCAAACCUAUUGCUGGUACUCUUGGUUGCCCUUCACUGGGUGGCCCUUGAGACCAGAGCGUUUACUUUGAGAAAAUUAGAGUGCUCAAAGCUGGCGAAUGCCUGAAUAGUUGUGCAUGGAAUAAUGAAAGAAGGCCUCGGUGCCAUUUUGUUGGUUCUCGGUGCUUGAGGUAAUGGUUGAAAGGGACAGACGGGGGCAUUAGUAUUGCGACGUUAGAGGUGAAAUUCUUAGAUCGUCGCAAGACUGACUACUGCGAAAGCAUUUGCCAAGAAUGUCUUCAUUAAUCAAGAACGAAAGUUAGAGGUUCGAAGGCGAUCAGAUACCGCCCUAGUUCUAACCUUAAACGAUGCUAACUGGCGAUCCGGUGGGGGUACUUCAAUGACCUGCCGGGCAGCUUCUGGGAAACCAAAGUUUUUUGGUUCCGGGGGAAGUAUGGUUGCAAAGCUGGAACUUAAAGGAAUUGACGGAAGGGCACCACCAGGAGUGGAGCCUGUGGCUUAAUUUGACUCAACACGGGAAACCUCACCAGGCCCAGACACUAGAAGGAUUGACAGAUUGAGAGCUCUUUCUUGAUUUGGUGGAUGGUGGUGCAUGGCCGUUCUUAGUUGGUGGAGUGAUUUGUCUGGUUAAUUCCGAUAACGAACGAGACUCUGGCCUAUUAAAUAGGCAGCGGAUAACAAAAUAGUCCGCAUUGUCUUCUUAGAGGGACAAGGCAGCUCCAAGCUGCAUGAAAUGGGGCAAUAACAGGUCUGU